rnacentral:misc_RNA from 1 species
UCUCAGUCAGCAUAUAGGCGAGCUGGAGACGACAAUAGAGCAAACGAAAAGUAAAAUUGUUGAUUUUGGUGAUACUAGCAAUUUGGAGGUGCUUGAUCAGUUCAAUCAUGUCUCGGAAUCCCUAAGUGAAGAUGAAGAUUCAUCUUUAGAGUCUGGUGAUGACGAGGAUGAAGAUCCUGAAUGGGAAAAUGAUGACGAUUCAGAGUACUCCAGUCUUGAGGACGAUGAAACAGGAUAACAACACUUCAUG